rnacentral:rRNA from 1 species
AGAACGAACGCUGGCGGCGCGCUUAACACAUGCAAGUCGAACGGGGUGUUUGGUUUCGGCUGGACACCUAGUGGCGGACGGGUGAGUAACGCGUGGGAACCUGCCCUGGGCUCCGGGACAACCGCGGGAAACUGCGGCUAAUACCGGAUGAUCCCCUGGAUCGAAGGUGAAGGGGGCAAAGAUUUAUCGGCCUGGGAUGGGCCCGCGUCCGAUUAGCUUGUUGGUGGGGUAACGGCCCACCAAGGCAUCGAUCGGUAGCUGGUCUGAGAGGAUGAUCAGCCACACUGGGACUGAGACACGGUCCAGACUCCUACGGGAGGCAGCAGUGGGGAAUCUUGGACAAUGGGGGCAACCCUGAUCCAGCGACGCCGCGUGGGUGAUGAAGGCCUUCGGGUUGUAAAGCCCUUUCGACCGGGACGAUGAUGACGGUACCCGGAGAAGAAGCACCGGCUAACUCCGUGCCAGCAGCCGC